rnacentral:siRNA from 1 species
AAAUUCUUAUGUGUACGCCUCUAG